GACGAACGCUGGCGGCGUGCUUAACACAUGCAAGUCGAACGGAAAGGCCUCUUUCGGGGGGUACUCGAGUGGCGAACGGGUGAGUAACACGUGAGUAACCUGCCCUUGACUUUGGGAUAACUUCAGGAAACUGGGGCUAAUACCGGAUAGGAGCUCCUGCUGCAUGGCGGGGGUUGGAAAGUUUCGGCGGUUGGGGAUGGACUCGCGGCUUAUCAGCUUGUUGGUGGGGUAGUGGCUUACCAAGGCUUUGACGGGUAGCCGGCCUGAGAGGGUGACCGGCCACAUUGGGACUGAGAUACAGCCCAGACUCCUACGGGAGGCAGCAGUGGGGAAUAUUGCACAAUGGGUGGAAGCCUGAUGCAGCAACGCCGUGUGCGGGAUGACGGCCUUCGGGUUGUAAACCGCUUUCGCUCAUGACGAAGCUUUGUGUGACGGUAGUGGGUAAAGAAGCACCGGCUAACUACGUG
rnacentral:rRNA from 1 species